CGGGAUGAGCUCAAAUUUAAAAUCUGGCUGCCUCAGGUGGUCCGAGUUGUAGUCUCGAGAAGAGUUUUCCGCGUUGGCCUGUGUACAAGUCCUUUGGAAUAAGGCGUCAUAGAGGGUGAGAAUCCCGUCCUUGACACAGAUCCCCAAUGCUUUGUGAUGCGCUCUCAAA
rnacentral:rRNA from 1 species